rnacentral:rRNA from 1 species
AGUCGAACGAUGAAGCUUUUAGCUUGCUAGAAGUGGAUUAGUGGCGCACGGGUGAGUAAGGUAUAGUUAAUCUGCCCUACACAAGAGGACAACAGUUGGAAACGACUGCUAAUACUCUAUACUCCUGCUUAACACAAGUUGAGUAGGGAAAGUUUUUCGGUGUAGGAUGAGACUAUAUAGUAUCAGCUAGUUGGUAAGGUAAUGGCUUACCAAGGCUAUGACGCUUAACUGGUCUGAGAGGAUGAUCAGUCACACUGGAACUGAGACACGGUCCAGACUCCUACGGGAGGCAGCAGUAGGGAAUAUUGCGCAAUGGGGGAAACCCUGACGCAGCAACGCCGCGUGGAGGAUGACACUUUUCGGAGCGUAAACUCCUUUUCUUAGGGAAGAAUUCUGACGGUACCUAAGGAAUAAGCACCGGCUAACUCCGUGCCAGCAGCCGCGGUAAUACGGAGGGUGCAAGCGUUACUCGGAAUCACUGGGCGUAAAGGGCGCGUAGGCGGAUUAUCAAGUCUCUUGUGAAAUCUAAUGGCUUAACCAUUAAACUGCUUGGGAAACUGAUAGUCUAGAGUGAGGGAGAGGCAGAUGGAAUUGGUGGUGUAGGGGUAAAAUCCGUAGAUAUCACCAAGAAUACCCAUUGCGAAGGCGAUUUGCUGGAACUCAACUGACGCUAAGGCGCGAAAGCGUGGGGAGCAAACAGGAUUAGAUACCCUGGUAGUCCACGCCCUAAACGAUGUACACUAGUUGUUGGGGUGCUAGUCAUCUCAGUAAUGCAGCUAACGCAUUAAGUGUACCGCCUGGGGAGUACGGUCGCAAGAUUAAAACUCAAAGGAAUAGACGGGGACCCGCACAAGCGGUGGAGCAUGUGGUUUAAUUCGAAGAUACGCGAAGAACCUUACCUGGGCUUGAUAUCCUAAGAACCUUAUAGAGAUAUGAGGGUGCUAGCUUGCUAGAACUUAGAGACAGGUGCUGCACGGCUGUCGUCAGCUCGUGUCGUGAGAUGUUGGGUUAAGUCCCGCAACGAGCGCAACCCAUGUAUUUAGUUGCUAACGGUUAGGCCGAGCACUCUAAAUAGACUGCCUUCGUAAGGAGGAGGAAGGUGUGGACGACGUCAAGUCAUCAUGGCCCUUAUGCCCAGGGCGACACACGUGCUACAAUGGCAUAUACAAUGAGACGCAAUACCGCGAGGUGGAGCAAAUCUAUAAAAUAUGUCCCAGUUCGGAUUGUUCUCUGCAACUCGAGAGCAUGAAGCCGGAAUCGCUAGUAAUCGUAGAUCAGCCAUGCUACGGUGAAUACGUUCCCGGGUCUUGUACNNNCCGCCCGUCACACCAUGGGAGUUGAUUCACUCGAAGCCGGAAUACUAA